UACGUAGGGACCAAGCGUUGUUCGGAUUUACUGGGCGUAAAGGGCGCGUAGGCGGUUUGUACAGUCAGGUGUGAAAUUCCCGGGCUCAACCUGGGGGCUGCACUUGAUACGUAUGGACUGGAGUGGGGAAGAGGGUCGUGGAAUUCCCAGUGUAGAGGUGAAAUUCGUAGAUAUUGGGAAGAACACCGGUGGCGAAGGCGGCGACCUGGUCCUUGACUGACGCUGAGGCGCGGAAGCGUGGGGAGCAAACAGG
rnacentral:rRNA from 1 species